rnacentral:tRNA from 1 species
GCGGCUAUAGUUCAAUGGUAGAACAUCGGGUUGUGGUCCCGAAUAUCUGGGUUCAAUUCCCAGUAGCCGCCCCA